rnacentral:rRNA from 1 species
AGAUGAGAUAUCCCAUUCUUAGUGAAGUAAACCCCCUUGAAGACGACGAGGUAGAUAGGGCAGAGGUGGAAGUGUGGCAACACAUGGAGCUGACUGUUACUAAUCGGGUGAGGGCUUGACCAA